rnacentral:tRNA from 1 species
UCCUGGAUAGCUCAGUUGUUAAAGAAUCUGCCUGCAAUGCAGGAGACCCUGGUUCGAUUCCUGGGUUGGGAA